rnacentral:rRNA from 1 species
GUGCCAGCCGCCGCGGUACUACGGAGGGUGCGAGCGUUAAUCGGAAUUACUGGGCGUAAAGCGUACGCAGGCGGUUUGUUAAGCGAGAUGUGAAAGCCCCGGGCUCAACCUGGGAACAGCAUUUCGAACUGGCAAGCUAGAGUGUGAUAGAGGGUGGUAGAAUUUCAGGUGUAGCGGUGAAAUGCGUAGAGAUCUGAAGGAAUACCGAUGGCGAAGGCAGCCACCUGGGUCAACACUGACGCUCAUGUACGAAAGCGUGGGGAGCAAACAGGAUUAGAAACCCCUGUAGUCC